rnacentral:rRNA from 1 species
AUAAGCUACAUAAGAGCGUAUGGGGAAUGCCUAGGCUCUCAGAGGCGAAGAAGGACGUGAUAAGCUGCGAAAAGUUACGGGGAGAAGCACAUAUUUUAUGAUCCGUAAAUAUCCGAAUGGGGCAACCCGGUACAGUGAAGCUGUAUCACCACGCAAGUGGGGCAAACCCGGUGAACUGAAACAUCUAAGUAACCGGAGGAAGAGAAAACAAAAGUGAUUCCGUUAGUAGUGGCGAGCGAACGCGGAUUAGCCCAAACCAGUAUUGUUACGGCAAUGCUGGGGUUGUAGGACCACGAUAUUUGAUGCGUAAUGAAUUAGAACACUUUGGAAAAAGUGACCAUAGAGGGUGAUAGUCCCGUAUAAGUAAAGAUCGUUAUUGAUAGUGGUAUCCUGAGUAGUGCGGGGCACGUGAAACCCUGUAUGAAUUUGGCGGGACCAUCCGUUAAGGCUAAAUACUCCUGAGAGACCGAUAGUGAACUAGUACCGUGAGGGAAAGGUGAAAAGAACCUUGAAUAAAGGAGUGAAAAAGAUCCUGAAACCAUACGCUUACAAGCGGUCGGAGCCCUUUGGGGUGACGGCGUGCCUUUUGCAUAAUGAGCCUACGAGUUACCGUUGCUAGCAAGGUUAAGGCAUUAAGUGCCGCAGCCGUAGCGAAAGCGAGUCUGAAUAGGGCGCUUUAGUUAGUAGUGGUAGACGCGAAACCGUGUGAUCUACCCAUGGGCAGGGUGAAGCUGUGGUAACACACAGUGGAGGCCCGAACCGGUUGACGUUGAAAAGUCUUCGGAUGACCUGUGGGUAGGGGUGAAAGGCCAAUCAAACUCGGAAAUAGCUCGUACUCCCCGAAAUGCAUUUAGGUGCAGCGUUGAUUUAUAGUUUUAUAGAGGUAGAGCUACUGAUUGGAUGCGGGGGCUUCACCGCCUACCAAUUCCUGACAAACUCCGAAUGCUAUAAAAUGAUAAUCAGCAGUGAGGGCAUGGGUGCUAAGGUCCAUGUCCGAGAGGGAAAGAACCCAGACCAUCAGCUAAGGUCCCCAAAUGUAUGUUAAGUUGAAUAAACGAGGUUGAACUGCUUAGACAGCUAGGAUGUUGGCUUGGAAGCAGCCAUUCAUUUAAAGAGUGCGUAACAGCUCACUAGUCGAGCGGUCCGGCAUGGAUAAUAAUCGGGCAUAAGUGUAUUACCGAAGCUAUGGACAGAGUAAUCUGUGGUAGGGGAGCAUUGUAGUUGUGUUGAAGGUGAACUGUGAGGUUUGCUGGAACGGCUACAAAAGAAAAUGUAGGCAUAAGUAACGAUAAUGCGGGCGAGAAACCCGCACACCGAAAGACUAAGGUUUCCUCAGCUAUGCUAAUCAGCUGAGGGUUAGUCGGGACCUAACGCGAACCCGAAAGGGGAAGUGGAUGGACAACAGGUUAAUAUUCCUGUACCUGCUCACGAUAAAAGUGACGGAGGCGUAUAUUUGGUGCGUGCUGACGGAAUAGCACGUUGAAGCGAGUAGUAAUACCGCGAUAGUACACUGAGACUACGGUCAAGGUGAUAAUCCAGAGAAGCGACUUCCAAGAAAAGCGAGUGAAGCAGCCCGUACCCUAAACCGACACAGGUAGUUGGGAUGAGAAUUCUAAGGUGCUCGAGAGAUUCAUGGCUAAGGAACUAGGCAAAAUUGACGCGUAACUUCGGGAGAAGCGUCGCCCACAGUAAUGUGGGCCGCAGUGAAAAGGUCCAGGCGACUGUUUAUCAAAAACACAGGGCUCUGCUAAAUCGAAAGAUGAUGUAUAGGGCCUGACACCUGCCCGGUGCUGGAAGGUUAAGAGGAGAUGUCAUUCCUUCGGGGAGAAGCAUUGAAUUGAAGCCCCAGUAAACGGCGGCCGUAACUAUAACGGUCCUAAGGUAGCGAAAUUCCUUGUCGGG